rnacentral:lncRNA from 1 species
GUAGAGCUGCUGAGGUCGCAACCAUGGCGGAGCUUGGCUGCACGAGCGGAGGCGGCGUCCAUGGCGGAGCUUGGCGGCGCGUGUGGAGCCCGCGGCUGGGCUGAAGCUCGACGGCGUGCACAGCUAGGGAUGCAGGCGACGUCAGGGCAAGAAGAGAGAAGAGGAUAAGGCUGUGUGGCUGUGUGAUCCGUGGAUAAGAGAGAGAAUGAAGAAAAAGAAUGGGAAGGGAAAAGAAAGAAAAAAUAGUACUCCCUCCGUUUCAAAUUAUAAGUGAUUCCAACUUUUUAGGAGAAUCAAACUAUUUAAUGUUUGAUCGAAAUUCAAGAGAGGAUCACAAAGAUUUAUGGUACCGAAUAGACAUACUAUAAAAAUAUAUUUAAUGAAAAAACUAAUGAUACUUAUUUGGUAUCAUGAAUGUUAGUAAUUUAUUGCAUAAAUUUGAUCAAACUUAAGAUGGUUUGACUCUCUAAAAAAAAUUAAAAUGGCUUAUAAAGGAAGAAAAGAGGGGAAAAAAAGAAAAAGAAAAAAGAAAGAAAACUAGAAAGGGCAUAAUGGACCUUUUAUCUUCUCUAUCAAUUAUAAAAAGCCAAGUGAACUAAACAUUUUUUUUAACAAGAUAAGUUAGAGUAAAAAAAACUGCUUCAUAAAGAACAGUCAAAACUAUUUUUU